UGCAUCACGUGUGACCUGCCC
rnacentral:miRNA from 1 species